UUUGCCUUAACUUCCUCAGGUGACAGCCAAAUGCAUACAGACCCAAGGAGGGUAUAUAGGUAGUUUGUCCAUGAUGACACUACUCUGCUGACUGUCGAGGAAUGAAUUCUAAACCGAUGUCCUAAGUCUCUCUCCUUCAGACCAACAGAAAGAUGGACAAGGAAUAGGAAGAACUCAUCUAUUGGCUGCAGUACCUGCCUCUGUGGAUUUGAUAGACAUAUUGUAAAUUUGUCUCAAUCCACAAACCCAAA